rnacentral:rRNA from 2 species
UACGGAGGAUGCGAGCGUUAUCCGGAAUCAUUGGGUUUAAAGGGUCCGUAGGCGGGCUAAUAAGUCAGGGGUGAAAUCGUUCAGCUCAACUGAGCAACUGCCUUUGAAACUGUUAGUCUUGAAUAGUUGUGAAGUAGUUGGAAUGUGUAGUGUAGCGGUGAAAUGCUUAGAGAUUACACAGAACACCGAUAGCGAAGGCAUAUUACUAACAAUUGAUUGACGCUGAUGGACGAAAGCGUGGGGAGCGAAC